rnacentral:rRNA from 1 species
AGUCGAGGGACGAACCAAGGUGCUUGCACCUUGGGGAAACCGGCGAACGGGUGAGUAACACGUGAGGAACCUGCCCUGUACACCGGGAUAACCACGGGAAACCGUGGCUAAUACCGGAUGCUCCACACCGAUCGCAUGAUCAGUGUGGGAAAGCUCCGGCGGUACAGGAGGGCCUCGCGGCGUAUCAGCUAGUUGGUGGGGUAACGGCCCACCAAGGCGACGACGCGUAGCUGGAGUGAGAGCUCGAUCAGCCACACUGGGACUGAGACACGGCCCAGACUCCUACGGGAGGCAGCAGUGGAGAAUCUUGUCCAAUGGGCGAAAGCCUGAGACAGCCACGCCGCGUGCGGGAAGAAGGCCUUCGGGUCGUAAACCGCUUUCAGGAGGGAAGAAGCGAGAGUGACGGUACCUCCAGAAGAAGGACCGGCUAACUACGUGCCAGCAGCCGCGGUAAUACGUAGGGUCCGAGCGUUAUCCGGAAUCAUUGGGCGUGAAGCGCAUGUAGGCGGCCAUGUAAGUCGGUUGUGAAAUCCCAGGGCUCAACCCUGGAACUGCAUCCGAUACUGCAUGGCUUGAGGAAGGUAGAGGAGAGUGGAAUUCCCGGUGUAGCGGUGGGAUGCGCAUAUAUCGGGAGGAACACCAGCGGCGAAGGCGGCUCUCUGGGCCUCUCCUGACGCUGA